UAAAAUACAGUAAAAACUGUAAUAUUGUGAUUGUAAUUACAUUUUAAAAUUGUAAUUUAUUCCUGUGAUGCACAGCUGUAUUUUCAGCAUCAUUACUCCAGUCUUCAGUGUCACAUGAUCUUCAGAAAUCAUUCUAAUAUGAUGAUUUGCUGCUCAACAAACAUUUCUGAUUAUUAUCAAUGUUGAAAACAGUUGUGCUGCUUCAUAUUUCUGUGGAGACCUUUUUCCCCAGAAUUAUUUGAUGAAUAGAAAGUUCAAAAGAACAGCAUUUUUGAAAUCUUUUGUAACAUUAUAAAUGUCUUCACUGUCAAUUUAUUUAAUGCACUAUUUAAACUAUUUAAUGCAUCCUUGUUGAAUUAAAGUAUUCAUUUCUAAAAAACAACAACAAAAAAACAUGAACAGCUUUUUCUUGUAAAUACACAUUCAAUUUAUUACCAAUUUAACACUCAUUAGACAUCUGACAGUGACUUCAUUUAAAACAUUCAUAAUUUUUUCUUUUCCUCCAAAGAAAGAUCUGAAUUCAUAAUAACAUCUAAACAAAGACCAGUUUAUAGGUACAAUAAUGGGUUUAAAAAGUGUUCUCAAUUGUGUCAAUGCAAAUUCAAUGGCAAAGAAAAUGACACGAGCCGCCACACACGGUGAACGGCAGUGUGUGUGUGUGUGUGUGUGUGUGUGGGCUUACAUCAAGAGCUUUAUUACAAGGUACAACAGCGUCUGAGUACAUGCACUAAAGUGCUAGUGUUUAAAGGCAUGCAUAUCAAAUAUGAUAUCUGCACAACUGCUGUCCAAACCCUAGUCAAGACAUCCAGAAGAAACUUGCACUGGAUUCCUAGUGGAAUAGAUCUCAUAAUUUGGAACCAAUUCUAAACUAUUAGACACUAUCCUAUCCAAUCCAAAAGAAACAGUUCACCCGAAAAUGCAAAUUUGCUGAAAGUUUACUCACCCUCAGGCCAUCCAAGAUGUAGAUGAGUUUGUUUCUUCAUGGAAACAGAUUUGGUGAAAUUUAGCAAUACAACGCUUUCUUAGCAACGGUUCCUCUGCAGUGAAUGAGAGUCCAAACAGCUGAUAAAAACAUCACAAUAAUCCACAAGUAAUCCACACCACUCCAGUCCAUCAGUUCACAUGGACUCUCAUUCUGACGGCACCAAUUCACUGCAGAGCAUCCACUUGUGAGCAAGUGACGGAAUGCUAAAUUUCUCCAAAUCUGUUCUGAUGGAGAAACAAAAAGCAAAUUUUCAUUUUCGGGCGAACUAUUCAUUUAGGGUUCAUUUUAUCCCUGGUUUGAGCAACUUUGCAAACUUCUAAUUUUGAAAAUAGCUUUGCAUCACUUUUUCACAUUGUCGGAUGUAGCUCACAUAAUUUGCUUCGAAACUUCUACAGUAUGAAACAAUCCAGUGUUAGAAUGUAACAAUGAGUUGCUAAGCAACAAACAACCAAUCACAGACUGCCUCAAU
rnacentral:lncRNA from 1 species